UGGCUCAGAUUGAACGCUGGCGGCAGGCCUAACACAUGCAAGUCGAGCGGUAGAGAGGUGCUUGCACCUCUUGAGAGCGGCGGACGGGUGAGUAAUGCCUAGGAAUCUGCCUGGUAGUGGGGGAUAACGCUCGGAAACGGACGCUAAUACCGCAUACGUCCUACGGGAGAAAGCAGGGGACCUUCGGGCCUUGCGCUAUCAGAUGAGCCUAGGUCGGAUUAGCUAGUUGGUGGGGUAAUGGCUCACCAAGGCGACGAUCCGUAACUGGUCUGAGAGGAUGAUCAGUCACACUGGAACUGAGACACGGUCCAGACUCCUACGGGAGGCAGCAGUGGGGAAUAUUGGACAAUGGGCGAAAGCCUGAUCCAGCCAUGCCGCGUGUGUGAAGAAGGUCUUCGGAUUGUAAAGCACUUUAAGUUGGGAGGAAGGGCAUUAACCUAAUACGUUAGUGUUUUGACGUUACCGACAGAAUAAGCACCGGCUAACUCUGUGCCAGCAGCCGCGGUAAUACAGAGGGUGCAAGCGUUAAUCGGAAUUACUGGGCGUAAAGCGCGCGUAGGUGGUUUGUUAAGUUGGAUGUGAAAGCCCCGGGCUCAACCUGGGAACUGCAUUCAAAACUGACAAGCUAGAGUAUGGUAGAGGGUGGUGGAAUUUCCUGUGUAGCGGUGAAAUGCGUAGAUAUAGGAAGGAACACCAGUGGCGAAGGCGACCACCUGGACUGAUACUGACACUGAGGUGCGAAAGCGUGGGGAGCAAACAGGAUUAGAUACCCUGGUAGUCCACGCCGUAAACGAUGUCAACUAGCCGUUGGGAGCCUUGAGCUCUUAGUGGCGCAGCUAACGCAUUAAGUGACC
rnacentral:rRNA from 1 species